GAUGAACGCUGGCGGCGUGCCUAAUACAUGCAAGUCGAGCGAACAGACGAGGAGCUUGCUCCUCUGACGUUAGCGGCGGACGGGUGAGUAACACGUGGAUAACCUACCUAUAAGACUGGGAUAACUUCGGGAAACCGGAGCUAAUACCGGAUAAUAUAUUGAACCGCAUGGUUCAAUAGUGAAAGACGGUUUUGCUGUCACUUAUAGAUGGAUCCGCGCCGCAUUAGCUAGUUGGUAAGGUAACGGCUUACCAAGGCAACGAUGCGUAGCCGACCUGAGAGGGGGAUCGGCCACACUGGAACGUGGACACGGUCCAGACUCCUACGGGAGGCAGCAGUAGGGAAUCGUACGCAAUGGGCGAAAGCCUGACGGAGCAACGCCGCGUGAGUGAUGAAGGUCUUCGGAUCGUAAAACUCUGUUAUUAGGGAAGAACAAAUGUGUAAGUAACUAUGCACGUCUUGACGGUACCUAAUCAGAAAGCCACGGCUAACUACGUG
rnacentral:rRNA from 1 species